CCCAGCCCUAAAGAGCUGGGCUAAGUUGUUUUGCGCCUCCGGCGCU
rnacentral:sRNA from 1 species